rnacentral:rRNA from 1 species
GACGUAGGGGGCAAGCGUUAUUCGGAAUUAUUGGGCGUAAAGCGCUCGUAGGCGGGACUGGAAGUCCGUGUUGAAAGACCUCGGCUCAACUGAGGGACCGGCUCGGAUACUCUAGUUCUUGAGGCAAUCAGAGGGUGAUGGAAUUCCCGGUGUAGCGGUGAAAUGCGCAGAUAUCGGGAGGAACACCGGUGGCGAAGGCGGUUCUCUGGGCCUGUACUGACGCUGAGGAGCGAAAGCGUGGGGAGCGAACAGG